CCUACGGGCGGCUGCAGUGGGGAAUAUUGGACAAUGGGGGCAACCCUGAUCCAGCCAUGCCGCGUGUGUGAAGAAGGCCCUCGGGUUGUAAAGCACUUUCAGUGAGGAAGAACGCCUGGUGGUUAAUACCCAUCAGGAAAGACAUCACUCACAGAAGAAGCACCGGCUAACUCCGUGCCAGCAGCCGCGGUAAUACGGAGGGUGCGAGCGUUAAUCGGAAUUACUGGGCGUAAAGCGCGCGUAGGUGGCUUGAUAAGCCGGUUGUGAAAGCCCCGGGCUCAACCUGGGAACGGCAUCCGGAACUGUCGAGCUAGAGUGCAGGAGAGGAAGGUAGAAUUCCCGGUGUAGCGGUGAAAUGCGUAGAGAUCGGGAGGAAUACUAGUGGCGAAGGCGGCCUUCUGGACUGACACUGACACUGAGGUGCGAAAGCGUGGGUAGCAAACAGGAUUAGAUACCCUUGUAGUC
rnacentral:rRNA from 1 species